ACCGAACUGGGAUGAUUCAGCCAACCAUUGGAAGGACGAUAAGGCAAUUGGAAAAGGGCAUUAAAGGUUUGCACUUUGAUGAUCCAAUCAACCAGUGGAGAAAAGAUAAGACAAUUGGAAAUAAGUAUGAAAGAUCCAAGACGAGACUAUUU